UAGAAACCUAAUGUGUGUUUGGAUUUUAGGUUGGUGACGGAUCUGUCAAUCAUGUGGUAAGUUCAUUGUACAUACAAAAGAUCACUAAAAAUCCACUCAGAUGGGCCACCCCACUAGGAACAAUCUAGAAUUGCACCGAAUCCAACACACGAAGGUGAUAUUGAGGUUCCAUUUUGUAGAGAGGGUUGAGAUGAGGUGAUGUGCCUGAUCAACGAUCACAAUUGCCUAUUUUUUAAAUGUGUUUGAGAGAGUUUAGGCUUUGAAUUUGGGUUGUCUUCGAAUAAUUCAAACUAUUUAUACGAUGUUUCUUAUAUGGUAGAUAGAUAACCAAUAAAAUCUUUACAUAUGAUUGAUACAUUCAAUCGAAGAGAUUUUUGGGCCAUAUAUUUCCUUUCCUUUUCUUUGAAAAUUUUAGGUACUGUCAUUAACGAUAAGAGUUGGGCUUUUGGCAUGGCUUUAUCCUUGGGCAGGUAUUCUAAGCUCGAUUGGAUGGAUAUAUUAGCAAACUGAAGAAUAUAUCAAUGGUCAACUGAAAAAUAAACAUGGUUGUACUUUCAUCCGAGUAAAUAAUGGUAACAUAGGUCCAUUUUUACUAAUAAAUGUGAUUUUUUUUUUCUUUUGAUUGAUGAGGGAUGGGGACCAAGGAUUGAUGCCCGAUCAAUGAUCACAAUUGCCUAUUUCUUUAAACAUGUUUGAGAGUUUAGGCUUUGAAUUUGGGUUGUCUUCGAAUAAUUCAAACUAUUUAUACGAUGUUUCUUAUAUGGUAGAUAGAUAACCAAUAAAAUCUUUACAUAUGAUUGAUAUAUUCAAUCGAAGAGAUUUUUGGGUCAUCCCGCAUUCGGGAUGUCAAUGGGUACCUGGACCCAUGGGUCCGGGUACUUGAUGGACCUGGCAUAACUUUAAGGGGUCCAGGUCCCAUAGAUAAAUUUGAACAGGCCAUAUAUUUCCUUUCAUUUUCUUUGAAGGGUUUGGGUACUUGAUGGACCUGGCACAACUUUAAGGGGUCCAGGUCCCAUAGAUAAAUUUGAACAGACCAUAUAUUUCCUUUCAUUUUCUUUGAAAAUUUUAGGUACUAUCAUUAACGAUGAGAGUUGGGCUUUUGGCAUGGCUUUAUCCUUGGGCAGGUAUUCUAAGCUCGAUUGGAUGGAUAUAUUAGCAAACUGAAGAAUAAAUCAAUGGUCAACUGAAAAAUAAGCAUGGUGGUACUUUCAUCCGAGGAAAUGAUGGUAACAUAGGUCCAUUUUUACUAAUAAAUGUGAUUGUGUUUUUACUUUCGAUUGAUGAGGGAUGGGGACCAAGGAUUGAUGAUGACUUGCCCAAGCUGCCGGUGACUCAUCCAAGUCUCAAUUGGAAUCAUGACCAAAUGAUUCAGUUGGAAUUGUUGAGUCAAAACACAAUGAUGAGGGCAUCUACUUUCUUUAUUGAUGCAGUUCUCUAUUUAUCAGUACAUGCCAAGUAACCAAACUGUGGCACUACCGAAGAACAUAAAGAGGCGAGGAAUGAUAUUACAAAGAAACAGAUCAAGCUUGACCCUAGCCAACCUGAGGGUGCAAGACACUGGUGGUAUUGCUCUCCCCCAACAAUGGUUCAAUUUGAUUGUCGUGGUAUUUGGAAUCAAGACAUGACCCAUUGGGCCCCAUUUCAACUAGGACCGGGACCCAUAAUUGCACUUGCUGAGAGCUUGAGUCCUGCAAUUGCCUAAGAAGUUUCAUGCCAAGUUUUUAAAUUAUGUUCUUGGUAUCUCGUGUUUAACUCUUGUCUCUUUUCUCUCAAUUUUUAUUUUUUAUUUUUAAAUUUUGUUUAUUUGUAUUUAUUUUUAUUUUACACUUUU